rnacentral:rRNA from 1 species
GCAUCGAUGAAGAACGUAGCGAAAUGCGAUAAGUAAUGCGAAUUGCAGAUUUCAGUGAGUCAUCGAAUCUUUGAACGCACAUUGCGCCC